AGUUAAUUGACGAGUCCCAAAUAGGACGAAAUGCCCGUUAUCCUGGAU
rnacentral:hammerhead_ribozyme from 1 species